UGAAGGAAAUAGGAGAAAGAGAAGGGAAAUAUUAUUCCAUAAAUGUUCCACUGAAGGAUGGAAUAGAUGAUGCCGGCUUCACUCGACUUUUCAAAACUAUUAUUGCCAAGGUUGUUGAAACAUAUCUGCCAGGUGUAAUAGUUCUGCAAUGUGGGGCUGAUUCACUAGCUUCUGACCGCUUGGGCUGCUUUAACCUCUCAAUUGAUGGGCAUUCCGAAUGUGUAAGAUUUGUGAAGAAAUUUAAUUUGCCUUUAUUGGUUACUGGAGGCGGAGGAUACACAAAAGAGAAUGUGGCUCGUUGCUGGGCUGUUGAAACUGGGGUUCUUUUAGAUACAGAGCUUCCUAAUG